UGGGGAAUAUUGCGCAAUGGUCGAAAGACUGACGCAGCGACGCCGCGUGGAGGAUGACGCCCUUCGGGGUGUAAACUCCUGUUGCUCGGGACGAACCGUGGAAUUCAUUCCACCUGACGGUACCGAGUGAGGAAGCACCGGCUAACUCUGUGCCAGCAGCCGCGGUAAUACAGAGGGUGCGAGCGUUGUCCGGAAUCACUGGGCGUAAAGGGCGCGUAGGCGGCUUGACAAGCGUGCGGUGAAAGCUCGGGGCUCAACCCCGAGUCGGCCGUGCGAACUGUCAGGCUUGAGCACAGUAGAGGCAGAUGGAAUUCCGGGUGUAGCGGUGGAAUGCGUAGAGAUCCGGAAGAACACCGGUGGCGAAGGCGGUCUGCUGGGCUGUGGCUGACGCUGAUGCGCGACAGCGUGGGGAGCAAACAG
rnacentral:rRNA from 1 species